rnacentral:rRNA from 1 species
AAGAGCGAUGGAAGCUUGCUUCUAUCAAUCUUAGUGGCGAACGGGUGAGUAACGCGUAAUCAACCUGCCCUUCAGAGGGGGACAACAGUUGGAAACGACUGCUAAUACCGCAUACGAUCUAAUCUCGGCAUCGAGGAUAGAUGAAAGGUGGCCUCUACAUGUAAGCUAUCACUGAAGGAGGGGAUUGCGUCUGAUUAGCUAGUUGGAGGGGUAACGGCCCACCAAGGCGAUGAUCAGUAGCCGGUCUGAGAGGAUGAACGGCCACAUUGGGACUGAGACACGGCCCAGACUCCUACGGGAGGCAGCAGAAGGG